rnacentral:tRNA from 1 species
UGUUAUGGCUCAGUGGUAGAGCGCUUGCCUAAUAAGUGUGAGGCACUGGGUUCGAUCUCAGCAUUACAG